AUUCAUCUGAUGAGUCCUAAAUAGGACGAAAGGCGUUUUCUGGAU
rfam:Schistosoma mansoni, Puerto Rico, WGS project CABG01000000 data, contig: 0077